rnacentral:rRNA from 1 species
AGCCUAACACAUGCAAGUCGAACGGCAGCACAGGAGAGCUUGCUCUCUGGGUGGCGAGUGGCGGACGGGUGAGGAAUACAUCGGAGUCUACUUUUUCGUGGGGGAUAACGUAGGGAAACUUACGCUAAUACCGCAUACGACCUACGGGUGAAAGCAGGGGAUCUUCGGACCUUGCGCGAUUGAAUGAGCCGAUGUCGGAUUAGCUAGUUGGCGGGGUAAAGGCCCACCAAGGCGACGAUCCGUAGCUGGUCUGAGAGUGAUGAUCAGCCACACUGGAACUGAGACACGGUCCAGACUCCUACGGGAGGCAGCAGUGGGGAAUAUUGGACAAUGGGCGCAAGCCUGAUCCAGCCAUACCGCGUGGGUGAAGAAGGCCUUCGGGUUGUAAAGCCCUUUUGUAUGGGAAAGAAAUCCAGCUGGCUAAUACCCGGUUGGGAUGACGGUACCCAAAGAAUAAGCACCGGCUAACUUCGUGCCAGCAGCCGCGGUAAUACGAAGGGUGCA